UGGGGAAUUUUGGACAAUGGGCGAAAGCCUGAUCCAGCAAUGCCGCGUGUGUGAAGAAGGCCUUCGGGUUGUAAAGCACUUUUGUCCGGAAAGAAAUCCUUGGCUCUAAUACAGUCGGGGGAUGACGGUACCGGAAGAAUAAGCACCGGCUAACUACGUGCCAGCAGCCGCGGUAAUACGUAGGGUGCAAGCGUUAAUCGGAAUUACUGGGCGUAAAGCGUGCGCAGGCGGUUUGCUAAGACCGAUGUGAAAUCCCCGGGCUCAACCUGGGAACUGCAUUGGUGACUGGCAGGCUAGAGUAUGGCAGAGGGGGUAGAAUUCCACGUGUAGCAGUGAAAUGCGUAGAGAUGUGGAGGAAUACCGAUGGCGAAGGCAGCCCCCUGGGCCAAUACUGACGCUCAUGCAAACGAAAGCGUGGGGAGCAAACAGGAUUAGAUACCCUGGUAGUCCACGCCCUAAACGAUGUCAACUAGUUGUUGGGGAUUCAUUUCCUUAGUAACGUAGCUAACGCGUGAAGUUGACCGCCUGGGGAGUACGGUCGCAAGAUUAAACUUAAAUGAAUUGACGGGGUCAUAGCUGUUUCCU
rnacentral:rRNA from 1 species